CGCGCGAUACAGGGUGACAGCCCCGUACACAAAAGCGUAUGUGCUGUGAGCUCGAUGAGUAGGGCGGGACACGUGGUAUCCUGUCUGAAUAUGGGGGGACCAUCCUCCAAGGCUAAAUACUCCUGACUGACCGAUAGUGAACCAGUACCGUGAGGGAAAGGCGAAAAGAACCCCGGCGAGGGGAGUGAAAAAGAACCUGAAACCGUGUACGUACAAGCAGUGGGAGCCCCACCACUAAGCCAGUGGUGAACUCCACAUACGCAUCCUUUGCUGAGGAUACGGUUAACGGAGCGAAAGCGACGUUCAACCGCAAAAGAAGCAGAGGGGGCUUAGUGGUGGGGUGACUGCGUACCUUUUGUAUAAUGGGUCAGCGACUUAUAUUCUGUAGCAAGGUUAACCGAAUAGGGGAGCCGGAGGGAAACCGAGUCUUAACCGGGCGUUAAGUUGCAGGGUAUAGACCCGAAACCCGGUGAUCUAGCCAUGGGCAGGUUGAAGGUUGGGUAACACUAACUGGAGGACCGAACCGACUAAUGUUGAAAAAUUAGCGGAUGACCUGUGGCUGGGGGUGAAAGGCCAAUCAAACCGGGAGAUAGCUGGUUCUCCCCGAAAGCUAUUUAGGUAGCGCCUCGUGAAUUCAUCUCCGGGGGUAGAGCACUGUUUCGGCUAGGGGGCCAUCCCGGCUUACCAACCCGAUGCAAACUGCGAAUACCGGAGAAUGUUAUCACGGGAGACACACGGCGGGUGCUAACGUCCGUCGUGAAGAGGGAAACAACCCAGACCGCCAGCUAAGGUCCCAAAGUCAUGGUUAAGUGGGAAACGAUGUGGGAAGGCCCAGACAGCCAGGAUGUUGGCUUAGAAGCAGCCAUCAUUUAAAGAAAGCGUAAUAGCUCACUGGUCGAGUCGGCCUGCGCGGAAGAUGUAACGGGGCUAAACCAUGCACCGAAGCUGCGGCAGCGAACGUAUCACUUAAAGCGAUUCAGCGGGUUACGAUUGACGG
rnacentral:rRNA from 1 species